rnacentral:lncRNA from 1 species
UUAUGAUAACCAUCCAAUCUUCAACUGCGAAUAGGAACAAGACAAAAUGGCGUUGAUUGGUACUACACACCGGCAUGAAUAUGUAUUUGCAUUCGUGUAAAGGUGGACCAACAUCUUGGUUAACAUACGGUUUGCAAAAACUCCAUGCAGUAUUCACGUUAGUGCAGGGCACAUAGCCCUGCCCAAGAUGCAUGAAGAAUGAAUUCAUGAAACCAAAUUGGGACCACCUUUGUAUUCCCCGCGACCUGUAGUAUUCCUCUCUGUCUCGUAGCAACAACAUAUAAGCGUCGAUGACAUGCUCGAAUAUCCAACUCCCAGGCCCUAAGGAUUGCACUGCAUUGUGUUCUAAUUCAUAUAACUAACGCGGAUGUGAUAAAGGAUAUAAAUC